ACUAGAACGAGUUUUUUUGGUAGAUUUGCCGUCUACGAGGGAUCGAUGGAAACGUUCUCCAAUGUGGCCACGCAGCUUUCGGUGAAUUUAGCAUUACUUUGCCCCUGGUGGACAUGUAGAACUUUUAGUCCCAUAUUCAUCAACCGACUCGUACGGUGGAUUUGGGUCUUUGCUCUUUCGCAGUUAAUUUUUAAACUUUGGAAAUAUUGUGGGCGGCUUUGUGUUUUUACAUCAAGCUCAUUCUGAAGCUUUUCACUCUGAAAAACCGCUUCAAAUAUGGAAAUUUGGGUUUCAGUACUCAAUGCAAGAAGCAUCCGCUUACUGGUAGUGUGGAUUGGUUCCGAUUAAACAUAUGAUUUUUUCACAAGAAGUUUUCAAACUCUGAAAAUCUUUUGGGCGUUUUUGUAUUUUUACAUCAAGCUCAUCUAAAAGUUGUCUCUAAAGAACCGUUUCAAAUAUGCAAAUAUGGGCUCGAGUUUUAUGCUUUUUUGUCAAUAAGUCACUAUACUAUUGAACAGUAUUUUGGAAAUAAAAAUUGCAUAAUCAUCAGAACGGGAAGGAAAAAACUCAGUUUGGAAAUCAUAAUUUCAAAGUCUUAUCGUGGGCCUCAAGCAGUCCGG